UACUUUCUACACAACAACUUCUUAAAAACAAAAGAAACCCCACGAGCUUCUACAUCUAUUAUUUUUGCAUUUACUUUCCACUCAACUGUUAAACUUUCCCCUCACCCUCGAUUUCUCCAAUACCACUCUGAGUCUCCUUCCUCGAUCUCUCCGACACCACUCCAAGCCAGCCACCAUCACCAUCGUCCUCACCAUCUCCCCUUACCCUCGAUCUCUCCGACACCACUUCGAGUCUCCUCCCUCGAUCUCUCUGACACCAUUCCAAGCUAGCCACCAUCACCAUCGUCCUCGAUGUCUUGACCAACCAGUAGAGCAUUGUGCGCAUGAAAGAUAGGACGACUACAGAGUCAGUUAAGGAAUGCUAAGCGCGUCGGUACUGCCACCCACACCGUGUUUUCUCCCUGGUUCGCCUCCCCACCCUCGCUCCAACCACAUUGCCACAUGCGCUUUCAUGGCCUAUGCCGCAAAUCGCAGCUCAGCUCAUAUAGCAGUCGUCAACGAUGUUGUGGAUCUCUUGGAUCCAUGAGGAAGAGACGUCUUUGGUUCGAUUUGUGCGUUAAGGUCAGUGAGAAAUGCUUGAAGACGACGUCUCUGGUUCGAUCCGUGUGGAAGACGGAUGUCUCUGGUUCUCAUAGAGAUUCAAUUUUAUUUUAUUUUUUGAUGAAUUCGAAAUUGUGUUUGAAGAUUUUGUAUAGGAGGUGCUUGAUGGAAGUGGCGGGGAUCUAUAGGGUUGUGAAUGUUAGGGUUAGGGUUUUUCUCUCCAAAAGGAUCACGAAUAGGUUGUAGGUGUUGGAUUUGGCGAUGGUGGAUACUGGGAAUCUGGAUACUGAAAAUUAGGAAGAAAAAAAAAAAAGAAAAAAAGAAGAAGAAGAGUUUGUACUUGUUGGACUCGUAGGACCUAGCCCAUUUUAUACGGGUCGGGUUAGGUCUAGUUCUUAGUUUUAAAAUAGUAAAAUCCACCCCAGGUUACCCCUAGCAAGGAGGUGAAGAGAGGAAAAGACACCAUAUUCCUGAUUCGCUAGAGAGACAAUGAAAGUCUCUGAGACUACAUUAAAUGAUUCCGCACAGAGUUUGUUGAGGUAGAUAGAACCGACGACCGUAUGGCUGCCACAACUUUCAAAAAAAGACUUCCCAUUAAAUUCGAGCUUAGCAGGAAGCUCCAUAAGCCUAAGUAAGAAUAGUCAACAAUGUUCUUAUAAGAACAUUAUACAUCUUAUUGGAGAAGACCUGUUUCAUCUUUAAUUCCUCAAGCAUUAUGCUCCAGUAGCAGUACAAAAAGAGUGAAACUAUCAAAGGUUCUCAGACCUCG